rfam:Xenopus tropicalis strain Nigerian Chr07_contig_2766, whole genome shotgun sequence.
GGUUUUCAGGCAGUGUAGUUAGCUGAUUGUGUUAACAUAAGACUUGCAAUCACUAGCUAAACUACCAGCAAAAC